rnacentral:lncRNA from 1 species
CCAGAGUAUUUAAUUUAAUUUACAAUAACCAGUGGGCCCCUGAAUAACUAAAAGUAAGGAAGACUGUGAACCGACAGUUUGGAGGAUGCAAAUCCAAUGGUAGCCUCGAUGAAAUCAGCUAUCUACAGCCUAUUCUAAGCCUGAAAUAGGUGGAAAUGAGAGUGGUGAGAUUAUAUAAUCCCAGUGAGUAAACAAAUACCAUCUAAAAUAUCUAAAAUUGAGUAAAUGGAGACAGAUAAAAUAGUUUAACAUACUGUAAUUCAUCACCUUUCAACUUAUUUCAACCAAAUAAAAUCAAUUCAUAUAAAUCGAGUAAUUAACAUGGCUUAUGAGUAUCUUAAAACUUUGGCUCGUGCCAAAAUCAUUCUCAUACCCAAUUAUCAGGGAUACCUUGAUCAAGGGCUAUCCCAACCAAGUCCGCCAAGGCUGUUAAAAAGUCAUGUACGCAUAAAUCAUGUUUUUAUUUUGAAAACAUAGUAGUUCCUUGGCGUUGGCCGAGUUCACCCUCAUGUGGUGGUUUUGCGUGAAGUGAAACUCUAAAGUUAUACCUCGAGAGUUACCCUACUCACCUCUCCAACCGAGGUAAAAUAUAACGGGAUUCCGUGCCCCUCUAAUACGUUAGUCCAAAAGAAACCAGCCCACUGCAGCAAGUUAAACCCACCAUACAAUAAAAUUUGCAAUAGCAUGACAUGGCAAUUAUUUUAUUUUAUUUUACAACCUUUCAAGGCAAAUCAACAAUUUAUACAUUUCCAACACAUUUAUCAAAUCAACCAUUCAUGCCAAUAUUGCCAUAAGCCAAUCAAUUAGAAUCAUGAAUUUACAACACACAAAAACAAUCUCCAAUUACUCUAUUUUCAAACCAUCAUUCAAUUUUAAAACAAUUUUAUGAAAUCAUUUCAUUAAAUCACAUUUUGUUUAUAAAAUCAAAAAAUUAAUCAUUUAAUUCAUUUUUCAUAAAAUUCACAAAAUCGAAUAAAACAUACUUUAGAUAAUUAAGAUGAUGAUAAGGUUACUCACUAUUUCGAGAGUCGAAUUCCAAGUACUCCGAUUCUUGAUCCUCGAGUACUAUCUCUUUACUUUUGCCAGAAUGCUCACCACCUAGACAUAAUGCACAAUAAGCCAUUUACUACAUUGUACUAAAUUGUUAUAAAACCAAUUUACGCUUUAUACUAAUGUAUGAAAUGGGAUGCAAAUUGUUCGGAUUAUUGUCUAAACACGGUGUUCUACACAAAUUCAAUUGUGUACCUAAAUUAAACGAUAUUGGCCUAAUUCGAUCUAUCACUCGAUUAAUUGGCCAACACGUCCAAUUCAACUCCAAAUAAUUUCAUUUUUCUCCCAAUACUCCAAAUCAUCAAACACAAAUUAAAUAACUUGAAAUAUGGUAAAAUCAUCCUCACAUUUUCUCUUGGAAAAUUCAGCCAUGGUGGGUUCAUCAAUACUAUAAUUUUUCCUACUUGAUUCUCAUACCAUAAAUCACUAAUUCCUAACCAAAUCACUUGAAAUAAAAUCAAAAUCAUCCUCAAUAUUCCGCAUGGAGAAUUCGGCCAAUGAUGGGUGAUGGGAGAACAUGAAUUUUUCUUGCUUGAUUUUCAUGUUACACAUCACCAAUCAACUAAAAACACUAAAAUAUAUUGAUUUCUAACCAAAUUAAGCAUCAAAACCUCUCUCCUAGGGUUUGAUCAGCACACUAUCCUUCAUGAUAUCUUGUGAUUCAACCAUGAAAAAUGCAAAAUAAUGCAUGGGAAAGGUAGAUCACAAGUCAAAAUCAAGAAAUUUUACUUUUGAUUGCUUGAUUACUUGAAAUCCACCAAUUUUCUCUUGAAUUUUCACCCUAGGGUUCUUGUUCUUCCUUUUUCUUCCUUUGUUCUUG